AUUGAACGCUGGCGGCAGGCCUAACACAUGCAAGUCGAGCGGAGAGGCGGACGGGGGAGUACUGCCUAGGAAUCUGCACGGUAGUGGGGGAUAAAGUCCGGAAACGGGCGCCAAUACCGCAUAAUAUCAGAUGAGCCUAGGUUGGAUUAGCUAGUUGGUGGGGUAAAGGCUUACCAAGGCGACGAUCCGUAACUGGUCUGAGAGGAUGAUCAGUCACACUGGAACUGAGACACGGUCCAGACUCCUACGGGAGGCAGCAGUGGGGAAUCUUGGGCAAUGGGCGAAAGCCUGAUCCAGCCAUGCCGCGUGUGUGAAGAAGGUCUUCGGAUUGUAAAGCACUUUAAGUUGGGAGGCGUUACCAACAGAAUAAGCACCGGCUAACUUCGUGCCAGCAGCCGCGGUAAUUC
rnacentral:rRNA from 1 species